ACGUGAUCUGAGUUCAGACCGGAGUAAUCCAGGUCAGUUUCUAUCUAUAACGGAGCUCUUUCUAGUACGAAAGGACCGAAAAAGCAUGGCCAAUACUUCCCGCACGCCAUAAUUAAUAAUUUAUGACUACACCUUAAUAAACAAUUAAUCCUUAAACUAGCUCUAAAAAAGAGC
rnacentral:rRNA from 1 species